rnacentral:lncRNA from 1 species
CUCUGGUGUGAGGAGUCCCUCUCCCUUCUCCUAAACUCUUCUACAAAACAGGGGUUUCCAACUUCCGGGAUAAGGACCUGUACCAACUCAUGGCCUGUUAGGAAAUGGGCCACACAGCAGAAGCUCUCCAGGAACACAUCUUUGAAGACAAAAUGCCUCCAAGAUCCCCAGUACUGUAGCUCUUCUCCUGAAGCAACUAUUUCCAGCCUUGAAAGUUAUCAGCUCAGGAGAGGAAGCACUGCAAGCAGCUCCUGGGCCCUGGGGUAUGGUUGCAGAUUCAUCACCUAGCUACUUGUUUGUGGUGUUAUCAUCUUUUUUUCCCUGACAUAUUUUGGAACUUGACUACAUCUGAUAUAUUUCUCAACAGUAAGUACAGCUACAUAAAGCAUUUAGGAAAAAAA